GCACUACUGAAGAGACCCAACCAGGUUGAAACAACUGUCCAGUGU
rnacentral:hammerhead_ribozyme from 1 species